rnacentral:lncRNA from 1 species
GUCUCCUUUGGUAUGGGUUCCAGGUCACAAAUGUGCCUCUGACUUGGAAUUAGCUAGAGUGUUUUAAAAUUUUUUAUAUUAAUUUAUGUAAUUUUAUUAAAAUCACAAUAUCAUUCACCUCUGGCAUAAAAAGUCCUGGGAACAAACAGCUUUCUCUCAGAGGCAUGCAAUUUAACUCAAUGGGAUCAAGCCAGUGCUAUACUAUAGUAGCCUGUUUCUGCACAUUGUAAUAUCAUCCAAAGAUAUACCUGGUCCUUCAGUAUAUUUUUCAUAACUACCUAUAAUAUGGUGGGAACUGGUGAGUCUAGGUGGCUAAUGGGGGCUCUGGGAACUUUUGUGGGUAUGUUAAGUGGAGCUCAGUUAAGAGAUCUAAUACAUACUAUUGUAUAUAUUAUGCAUUAUAUAAUUAGCCAUUUGUUGCUGUGCAAUGAAGCUUUUUCUAGAACCUUUUUUUUGCUAUUAUAAACAGUGCUGCAGGAACUAUCCUAAAUAUCUAAAACAUUUGACUCCUAAAUUAUUUCCUUAGGCAAAGUGUAAAGAAGUGAACUAUUUAGGUUAAAUAAUAUGUAUACAAUAGUAUGAAGGCUUUGAAUAUGUAUUUUAUUUUUAUUUACUUAUUUGCUUUUUCUGUGGUACUGGGAUUGAAUACAGGGGCACUGAACCACUAAACCACAUCAGCCCUUUUUAUUUUUUAUUUUGAGACAGGGUCUCACUAAAUUACUUAGGGCCUCUCUAAGUUGCUAAGGCUGACUUAUAACUUGUGAUUCUCUUGCCUCAGCCUCCCUAAUGGCUGGGAAUACAAGCAAGUACCACUACGUCUGGCUCUAUAUGUAUUUUACAUAAGCCUCUAGAACAGUUACACAAACUCACCUAUCAGCAAUUUUUCUGAACUUUGCUAUUUUGUCUUUCCUUGUAAAAACACCUUUGCUGUUUUUUUUAUUCAUCUUUGCUGUUUUGAGAGGUGAAAAAUGACAUUUGUUAAUUUCCUUUCUUUGAAUUCUCCUGAGAUUGAAAUGAAAUUGCUUUUGUCUUUUUAAUUAAUUUGUUCAAGCCAUUCUGGAGGUCAGAAUCUUAACCCAAAAUUGUUACCAUCUACCAAUACAGGAGUAAGAACUAUGGGUUUUAAUUUUUAAUACAGGACUUUAAGUAAUGAGAUGCAGCAAAUUAUAAAGGAUAUAACAAUUGGUUCUGGAUUAUUAGUGUUUUUUCACUCUCAAGGAACACAUAAGAAGUUUUUAUUUUUUAAUAAUUCUUUUAAUUUUCAGAUUCACAACAUUUGCAUAACUAUGAGAAAACAUUUUCAUGCCCUUCCAACAAAAUAAGAAAACAUAGCAGUACCUUCUAAUAAUCAAAACAAAAUUUCAUUAUUAACAAAAAGUCAUAUAUACUAAUUGGGAAAUUAAAGUUUAUCUUAGAAUCGACUUCAGUCAGGAAAGCUUCUUUUGGACAAAUGAAGAGUUAAUGUACAUAUCCUAGUUAAAUAAAAAAUGUACAUAUCCUAGUUAAAUAAAAAAAUACAUAACACAAUGGGCUAUUCUAAGAUUUAUAACCCUUUUAAUUUGAGGAGUUCCAACAAUGUCUAUUCUAAAACAUAUAGUAAAAUAGCUCUUAGAAAAAAAUUGAUGAGCAGACUUUAGUUUGUUUUAGACAAACUUGCCUACUUUCUGAUUAUAUCACAUCACCACAAUCAAUGCAAUGCAUUUUUUUCUGAGAAAAAGCAAAACUAAAAUUUAAAUUAAUACAGAGUUCUUCACAUAUUCACCCAGUCUAUCAAAUAUAACUCAUAUAAUAAAACCUACAGUACAUAUAAUUAUGCACCAAAAAAUGUAGAUCUGUCAAGUAUACAAAAAUUAACAAUUUCAUUUACCCAAGUCAAAGAAAAAACUUUAAUAACAUAAAAACACAAAUGUAAGCUAGAUCUACUUUGAGGACAUUUUAUCAUAUUUUUACAUCAAAAGGAUGUAUGCUUGGACAACAGCAGAAAUGCUGUUAAAGCUGUUUGCUAUAAAUUAAAAUUAAUUAAACAAAAGAUCAAAAAGUCUCCAAGUUAAACUUCACAAAACAAAAACACUGUCUUCUGAUUUA